rnacentral:rRNA from 1 species
CAUGCAAGUCGAGCGGUAACAGGUCUAGCUUGCUAGACGCUGACGAGCGGCGGACGGGUGAGUAAUGCAUAGGAAUCUGCCCGAUAGUGGGGGAUAACCUGGGGAAACCCAGGCUAAUACCGCAUACGUCCUACGGGAGAAAGGGGGCUCCGGCUCCCGCUAUCGGAUGAGCCUAUGUCGGAUUAGCUAGUUGGUGAGGUAAAGGCUCACCAAGGCGACGAUCCGUAGCUGGUCUGAGAGGAUGAUCAGCCACAUCGGGACUGAGACACGGCCCGAACUCCUACGGGAGGCAGCAGUGGGGAAUAUUGGACAAUGGGGGCAACCCUGAUCCAGCCAUGCCGCGUGUGUGAAGAAGGCCUUAGGGUUGUAAAGCACUUUCAGCGAGGAAGAACGCCUGGCGGUUAAUACCCGCCAGGAAAGACAUCACUCGCAGAAGAAGCACCGGCUAACUCCGUGCCAGCAGCCGCGGUAAUACGGAGGGUGCAAGCGUUAAUCGGAAUUACUGGGCGUAAAGCGCGCGUAGGUGGCUUGAUAAGCCGGUUGUGAAAGCCCCGGGCUCAACCUGGGAACGGCAUCCGGAACUGUCAGGCUAGAGUGCAGGAGAGGAAGGUAGAAUUCCCGGUGUAGCGGUGAAAUGCGUAGAGAUCGGGAGGAAUACCAGUGGCGAAGGCGGCCUUCUGGACUGACACUGACACUGAGGUGCGAAAGCGUGGGUAGCAAACAGGAUUAGAUACCCUGGUAGUCCACGCCGUAAACGAUGUCGACCAGCCGUUGGGUGCCUAGCGCACUUUGUGGCGAAGUUAACGCGAUAAGUCGACCGCCUGGGGAGUACGGCCGCAAGGUUAAAACUCAAAUGAAUUGACGGGGGCCCGCACAAGCGGUGGAGCAUGUGGUUUAAUUCGAUGCAACGCGAAGAACCUUACCUACCCUUGACUUCCUGCGAAUUCGGGAAAGAUCACUUAAGGCCUUCGGAAACCCAAAACAGGUGCUGCAUGGUUGCCCCCACUCCGGUUGGAAAUGUUGGGUUAA